UAUCUUUUUAUUGGGUAGUGACUGAUAAAUUACUUUAGACAGACAAUCAAUUUUACUUCAAAUUAUCAAUGAUUAUCAAUAAAAGUCUGGAAAGGAGGGUCCAUCAUUUUUUUAUUGAUCAGUCUUUUAAUUAUUUUCUUCUUUCUCUAUCAAUUUUGCCCAUUAUUCUCUAUUCUUUAUAUAUAAUUUAAAAUUUUAUAUUUAUAAAGUAUCCCAAAAUUUUCUGUUCUUCAUUUUUUAAGUCUAGUUUUUUCUCUAUUCUUUUUAACAGAUCUUAUUAUUUUACUUGUAUAUAUAUAUAUAUAUAUAUAUAUUGAACAAUCUGAACCAACAUUACUUUAAUAGUGUCUCAAUUAAAAAAAAAUUGGAUUCAAAAUUGUAGAUUACUUUUUUGUCUAAUAAGUUAGCUCAGCGAUAAUUUAAGCAUUUAAACGGAUCUGCCUUUGAAUAUAUUAACAUUGUAAGUUUUUGACGAUUUUUAGCAUUGGAAAUAAGAUGUUGUAUGAUUGCCAAUGAGACAAAUCUCUACCAGAUACCAUAUACAUGUAUUAGCAUGGUCUUAUCAAAGAUAAGUAAGAUGCUAGUUUUAAAUUCCAAUUGGAAAAGAAGUUUCCCUCUUUUUAUUUACAAAGGGAGAUAAUUCCUGAUUCAUAAGUUUAAUUUUCCAACACCACAUGUUUUGAUACAUUGAACAACAUUUUCUCAAUUAAAAUAUUUAAGUUCUUGUGCUGUUCUUCUACAUAAAAAAACUGAUCAAAAUUGUCUUUACAUCACAAUGUCCAAUUAUCACAAAACAGUUUGAGUAACUAUGGAAAUAUGUAUUGACAAAAUUACAGUUACUAUGCUUAUUUAUGUACAUUAAAACAACAAUAACUGUUAUGACCUGCAUGUAAAAAAAUUCUAAACAACAAAGAAAGAAGUAUUUUUUUCUUUAAAGUUUAAAGUGUAGUGUUUAUAAAUUGUUAUUCAUAUUUUCCUCUUUGAAAUCUCAAAAAUUGUUUUAUACCAAGUUUAAAGACAGCAGCAAGUCACCAGAAUCUGCAAAAUUUACCACAGACAAUUGGUUUUUUAACAGUGCAGAUGUUUUCAAAUUAUAUAAAAUCUAUUGGGAAUCACCUUUAGGUUCUUCCAACUUUUCCAUGUUUAUUUGAAGAAUCAAUAAAACCAAACAAUCAAUAGCUGUUGUGCAAAAAAAUUAAAUUCUCUGUAAAAUUGUAAAGUUUCAAAUCUUAUAAAAAAUUGCAGUGAUAAAUAACAGUUACUUCACAAUAUGUCCAACAAAAUUUACAUAUAUAUCCCAUUUUAACAACAAAAAUGUUUAUUAAAAUUUACUAUUCCAUUGUAUUCUGUUUUAACAAUCAACAUGAUCAAUACAUUAAGCCAACAAUAUAUAUAUAUGUAGUUUAAAGUCAACAAGUAGCAUAUAAAAUCUGUGACCUAUUAAAUAAUUGUUUCAAGUAGGUCCAUGUACAGU
rnacentral:lncRNA from 1 species